UACCAGCACCCCGAGUGGUCGGGACGAUUAUUGGGCCUAAAGCAUCCGUAGCCGGUUCUGCAAGUCCCCCGUUAAAUCCAGCUGCUCAACAGAUGGGCCGCGGAGGAUACUACAGAGCUAGGAGGCAGGAGAGGCAAGCGGUACUCAGUGGGUAGGGGUAAAAUCCGUUGAUCCAUUGAAGACCACCAGUGGCGAAGGCGGCUCACUGGCCCGAUACUGACGCUGAGACGCGAAAGCGUGGGGAGCGAACAGG
rnacentral:rRNA from 1 species